UACGUAGGGUGCGAGCGUUGUCCGGAAUUAUUGGGCGUAAAGAGCUCGUAGGCGGUGUGUCGCGUCGGCCGUGAAAACCUGGGGCUUAACUCUGGGCGUGCGGUCGAUACGGGCAUCACUAGAGUUCGGCAGGGGAGACUGGAAUUCCUGGUGUAGCGGUGAAAUGCGCAGAUAUCAGGAGGAACACCGGUGGCGAAGGCAGGUCUCUGGGCCAUAACUGACGCUGAGAAGCGAAAGCGUGGGGAGCGAACAGG
rnacentral:rRNA from 1 species